rnacentral:lncRNA from 1 species
CACCACCACAUCACCACUGCACUAGCACACACACCACCAUCAUCACAUCACCACUGCACUAGCACACACACCACCACCACCACAUCACCACUGCACUAGUACACACACCACCACCAUCACAUCACCACUGCACUAGUACACACACCAUCACCAUCACAUCACCACUGCACUAGUACACACACCAUCACCACCACAUCACCACUGCACUAAUACACACACCAUCACCACAUCACCACUGCACUAGCACACACACCACCAUCACCACAUCACCACUGCACUAGUACACACACCACCACCACCACAUCACCACUGCACCAGUACACACACCACCACCACAUCACCACUGCACUAGCACACACACCAUCACCACCACAUCACCACUGCACUAG